CCCGUGCCCCUCUUCCUUCCUUUCUGUCAGCAUGUGUCUGUGCCUUGUGUGUGUGAUAGAGAGAGAGAAAAAUAAAAUUAAAAAAUAGAAAAAAAAAAAUCAAUAUAUUCUUCACAUUAUAAUCCUUCAAUUGACAUUGCUCAAAUCAUCCUUCUUCCACACAACAAAAAAUUGCACUAAAAGAUAUCUUUUUCUUUUGGUGUUGCUGAUACCAUAGAAAAAAACCGAAACUUGCUAACCCACUAACCCAUAUAUUAACAAACCAAGAAAAUUACUGAUUAGAAAACGAAGCAGAUCACCUUCCCAUUCAUAAAUAAAAACAAACCUUCAUCCACAUUCCAAAAGCAGCACAAGGUCUACUUCAGUGUUCCAGAACAGAUACUAUCAAAAUUUUUGUGAAGCAAUAACCCCAAUGACCCUCCUGAUACAACUUACCAUCCAUGAUAAAUCUAUAUGAUUAAAAUUCAAUGAUUCUAUGGAAUUGCCCUGCCUUCAUUUAGCACAAGAUUGAUUAUCCAGAUUCACAUGUUUUAAGAAAUUUUAAAAAACAAAAAAUUAUAAAAAAAAAAACUCUAUGAACAAGACAAUUAUCAAUCACACCAAAAAUCCCUAAAAGCAAAUUCCAAUACUUUUCUUUCAUCCUGUAGGCCACUUGUAUGGCACAGAGAAAGGAAAAUAUACUAAGUGAUUGAAGAUCAAAAAACCUGAAACCCCGACGAGACUCUCGUCUGUAAGGUGCACCACGAUAGGAAAAGCGGUCAGAGCGGAUCUUACGAUCCAUCGGGCUCCUGCUCCUGCUCCUGCUCCUCCAGAAAGCUAAAGCAAAGAAACAGGUUUACCUUGAGUUGGAAAAUCUACAGCUUGUGCAGAGAGUUUGGCUACUUUGCUUACGGAUUCUUCUAAAUAUAUUUUUUGAUUAUUAGUAAAUGGGAUUGGAUGUGUAGGUUGGAAGCCGUUUAACAUCACUGAUAUCUUCUGUGUUGAAUGCUGAUUCUUUUUUGAGUCAUAAAAUGAUUUGGGAUUGGGUUGUGCGGCUGGAGAUAAUUACCAUAUGUUUGGUUUCUCAAUGGAUCCCUUUGUGCUCAUUCGAGAUGGUGUUAUAUUUAUUUGUAUUGUUUAUAUAUAUCCUACUGAUCUCACUACUCAAUCCAAUCUGCUUUACUGCAUGUAUUAAUCCAAAUACUUACAAAUAUUGGCUCAUUGUUCU
rnacentral:misc_RNA from 1 species